rnacentral:rRNA from 1 species
UACAGAGGGUGCAAGCGUUGUUCGGAAUUAUUGGGCGUAAAGGGCGCGUAGGCGGUGCGAUAAGUCAGGCGUGAAAGGCCCGGGCUCAACCCGGGGACUGCGCUUGAUACUGUUGCGCUGUGGGUCCGGGAGAGGAUGGCGGAAUUCCCAGUGUAGAGGUGAAAUUCGUAGAUAUUCGCAAGAACACCAGUGGCGAAGGCGGCUUACUGGUCCGGUUCUGACGCUGAGGCGGCGAAAAGCGUUGGGGAGCAAACAGG